UACGAAGGGGGCUAGCGUUGCUCGGAAUCACUGGGCGUAAAGCGCACGUAGGCGGGUCGUUAAGUCGGGGGUGAAAUCCUGGAGCUCAACUCCAGAACUGCCUUCGAUACUGGCGACCUUGAGUCCGGGAGAGGUGAGUGGAACUCCGAGUGUAGAGGUGAAAUUCGUAGAUAUUCGGAAGAACACCAGUGGCGAAGGCGGCUCACUGGCCCGGUACUGACGCUGAGGUGCGAAAGCGUGGGGAGCAAACAGG
rnacentral:rRNA from 1 species